AUACAGUGCAUCAGAAGGGACAGUACACACCAUCUUUCAUUCCCACCAUUCUUUGUGAAGAGGAAUCCAAAUGUUCUUUGGCCUGAUCGAGUUCUUAUGGGUGCCUUGAGCCAUCCUAGGAGGCAUCCCAAGUAACAACAUUAAGAACGUAUAAAUGUUUGAACUGUGCAGACUUCUUGUUGUGAGAAAAAAAGCCUGCAGCCAAUGAGAUAGAAAUGGAGAGAAGGGCAAUAGCAGCUUGCACAUGUCAAGGAUCUGCAGCGCAUGAAACCCCUUAAACUGAAGAUGAUGUUCCUGAAGCCUAGAGAUGUCAGCACUCGCAGUCAGCCGCUUUAUCAUCCAUUGCUCCAUUAACCUCAUCCACCUGGUCAACACAAUUCAAACAUACCAGAUACAGACUCAGUUAAAACAGAUAUGGGUGCAAGUCAUGACACUUUUACAGAUUAAAGAUGUCCGAGAUUCACGAUGAAUGCUGUUUGAAGAAGAAUGAACAGAAUCACAUUUUAAUUUAAUCUCACUGCCAAUGUGGACUUAAAGAGGACGGGCUCUGUUAUGACAACUGUAUUUUUAAGUAACAGAGAUAAGGGUGUUAUUGGAAUCAUUUCAAUAAAAUAUGGGAGAACCGGUACAUACCAGUUUGAUAUCUUGAUUAGACUGGGACUUAAACAAAAACGAUAGAUAUUGGACCUCUCUAAUACACAUUAUAAACAUCUCAUGUCUUAAGUCAAUAACAAAGCUGUAAUAAGGCGAUAUUUAGUGUAAUUAACACUUAGGGCUAUUCUCCUAAAACAUAUAACCACCGGGUUUUGCAGAUUUUUAAUAAUAUAUGGUUGGGCUUUUUUGCUAAUUUGCACCCCAAAAGGCACAUUUGCUUUUGUAUGGGGUUGGCAUAAAAACUUAAUAAAUGCCUUCCCUCCAGUGGUUAUAUUUUUAAAUGGACAAAAUAUCAAACUGGUAUGUACCUUAUCAACAUUUUUAGCUGGACUAUUUGAAUAAUAAGGAGGGUUAUACCACUCGCCUCAGCAUCUGCUUUGGCUUUAGCGUCCGGUUAAAGUUUAAGACCAAGUUGGGAUUUUCACUCAUAGGGAUUUUCACUCAUAACUGCAAAACCCUUCAUUAAAGUCACUUAAUACUCCAUACAGUUG